rnacentral:rRNA from 1 species
GCAGUCAGAGGCGAUGAAGGACGUGCUAAUCUGCGAAAAGCGUCGGUAAGGUGAUAUGAACCGUUACAGCCGGCGAUGUCCGAAUGGGGAAACCCAGUGUGAUUCGUCACACUAUCGUUAACUGAAUACAUAGGUUAACGAGGCGAACCGGGGGAACUGAAACAUCUAAGUACCCCGAGGAAAAGAAAUCAACCGAGAUUCCCCCAGU